GAACCAUGGAGGCUUUCGAUUUUUAAUUUGGUCUGUUUGGAAGGAGAAGUCUGUUGAUUCUCUUCCAGAGACUUCCGGAAUAUUGAUUCCGCCGUUGAGUAAUCGGAGCUGAUUAGGUUUGAUUUUGUUAUGGAGAUUUUGAUUGCGCUUGUGAACAAGAUUCAGAGAGCCUGUACAGCUCUGGGAGAUUACGGCGAGGGAAGCUCCCUCCCAACUCUGUGGGACUCAUUGCCGUCGUCGGUGGUCAGGUUUGGGCUUUUGACAGCCCAACUGCAUCAUACUAGCUAUUUCCCCUGCAAAUCAGGAUCUUGCUACAUCUGAUGCCAUUAAGAUCUCUCGUGAAGUUGAUCCAAAAGGUUCUGUUUGGCUGCGAAUGUGAUUAUAGGUUACUCUUGCUGGAUUUAGGAAUGGCAAGUUUUCUACAUUGGUGGCUACAAAUGUUGCUGCUCGUGGUCUAGAUAUCAAUGAUGUGCAGUUAAUUAUUCAGGUUAGUCAACACCUAUGAACUUUAAUCAUUCUGGUUUAAUGCCUCGUUGGUUUGUUAGAACCAAAGUUUAUAGUUUUUUUGUCAAAUUGAAUCUCUGUUUGAAUGUGAGUUGUGUGUUAAAGCUUGAAUCUUUUUGUCAAUUGUCUUUAUGUGUCUCAAAAACCUCACAUGGUUUUGUGUUGAAGCUCAAUGGAGGAAUUUCAGUCAUCUAUAGAUAUGGAGUCCCAUAGGAGUUCACCAGAGAAUGACCUUUUAUCGUCUGUAGCUUUGUCAGGUCCUUUAUUUCGGAGCACAAUCUAUCAUCUGAAAGUACCAAGGUUUUCAAUUACGUCUCUGGGACCAGAAUAUACACUUCAAAACAAGUCAUAUAGCCUAUAUAGUGAUAAAAGACAAUGUAGGAGCUUGACUGAAACUACAGUAUUUGAGAAAAAAAUUGGCUUCUACACCUUUUAUUUGAAGGUGGACCCUUCUUGGCCUCUCUGCAUGUACGAGUUACGUGGAAGGUGCAAUAAUGAUGAAUGUUCUUGGCAACAUUUCAAGGAUUUCUCUGAUGACAGUUUGCAAAAAAGAAACAGCAUGCAAGAGACAUGUUUAGUGAAAAUGAUAGAUAUCAAAGCUUGUAUGAGUUUGGUUGUAUGAAUGUUUGUAUUGGAAAAUAUUGUUUUGCAAAAAUUUGAAAUUUUUUUCUUAAGAACCAACCAUUGGAGAACAUUUUUGUUAAGAUAUUCUCUUUGUAUCUUAGCUUUCAAAAAGCAAAAUUUUAAUUUUAAAUAAUGUUAAGAGCAAAA